GAACGCUGGCGGCGUGCCUAAUACAUGCAAGUCGAGCGAGCUUGCCUAGAUGAAUUUGGUGCUUGCACCAAAUGAAACUAGAUACAAGCGAGCGGCGGACGGGUGAGUAACACGUGGGUAACCUGCCCAAGAGACUGGGAUAACACCUGGAAACAGAUGCUAAUACCGGAUAACAACACUAGACGCAUGUCUAGAGUUUAAAAGAUGGUUCUGCUAUCACUCUUGGAUGGACCUGCGGUGCAUUAGCUAGUUGGUAAGGUAACGGCUUACCGAGGCAAUGAUGCAUAGCCGAGUUGAGAGACUGAUCGGCCACAUUGGGACUGAGACACGGCCCAAACUCCUACGGGAGGCAGCAGUAGGGAAUCUUCCACAAUGGACGCAAGUCUGAUGGAGCAACGCCGCGUGAGUGAAGAAGGGUUUCGGCUCGUAAAGCUCUGUUGGUAGUGAAGAAAGAUAGAGGUAGUAACUGGCCUUUAUUUGACGGUAAUUACUUAGAAAGUCACGGCUAACUACGUGCCAGCAGCCGCGGUAAUACGUAGGUGGCAAGCGUUGUCCGGAUUUAUUGGGCGUAAAGCGAGUGCAGGCGGUUCAAUAAGUCUGAUGUGAAAGCCUUCGGCUCAACCGGAGAAUUGCAUCAGAAACUGUUGAACUUGAGUGCAGA
rnacentral:rRNA from 1 species